rnacentral:rRNA from 1 species
AUUGAACGCUGGCGGCAUGCCUUACACAUGCAAGUCGAACGGUAACAGGUCUUCGGAUGCUGACGAGUGGCGAACGGGUGAGUAAUACAUCGGAACGUGCCCGAGAGUGGGGGAUAACGAAGCGAAAGCUUUGCUAAUACCGCAUACGAUCUCAGGAUGAAAGCAGGGGACCGCAAGGCCUUGCGCUCACGGAGCGGCCGAUGGAAGAUUAGGUAGUUGGUGGGAUAAAAACUUACCAAGCCGACGAUCUGUAGCUGGUCUGAGAGGACGACCAGCCACACUGGGACUGAGACACGGCCCAGACUCCUACGGGAGGCAGAAGUGGGGAAUUUUGGACAAUGGGCGCAAGCCUGAUCCAGCCAUGCCGCGUGCAGGAUGAAGGCCUUCGGGUUGUAAACUGCUUUUGUACGGAACGAAAAGACUCCUUCUAAUAAAGGGGGUCCAUGACGGUACCGUAAGAAUAAGCACCGGCUAACUACGUGCCAGCCGCCGCAGUAAUAC